rnacentral:rRNA from 1 species
GUAGGUGGCAAGCGUUGUCCGGAAUUAUUGGGCGUAAAGCGCGCGCAGGCGGUUCUUUAAGUCUGAUGUGAAAGCCCACGGGCUCAACCGUGGAGGGUCAUUGGAAACUGGAGAACUUGAGUACAGAAGAGGAAAGCGGAAUUCCACGUGUAGCGGUGAAAUGCGUAGAGAUGUGGAGGAACACCAGUGGCGAAGGUGGUUUUCUGGUCUGUAACUGACGCUGAGGCGCGAAAGCGUGGGGAGCAAACAGGAUUAGAUACCCUGGUAGUCCACGCCGUAAACGAUGAGUGCUAAGUGUUAGGGGGUUUCCGCCCCUUAGUGCUGCAGCUAACGCAUUAAGCACUCCGCCUGGGGAGUACGGCCGCAAAGGCUG